AUGCCUGUUACUGAACUACCUCCAGUUGAUGUCCUUGUGGGUCUGCAGUCUUCAGGAAGGUUCUGUUCCAGCCUGACCACUGGAGAACUGUUGCUGCACGACCUCAAGGUUUCUGCCCCUCUUGUUGAGGUCCUGGUGUCUGCAGGGUUUGGAAAGGUCCUAACUGUUCCAGCCUGGCCACUGGAGAACUGUUGCUGCACGACCUCAAGGUUUCUGUCCCUCUGGUUGAGGUCCUGGUGUCUGCAGGGUUUGGAAAGGUGUGUGACUUUAGACGGAAUCUUAAGGCUCCUUCCACAUGAAGCAUUCUGGAAUGUUGUAAAUGAUGCAGCCAUUUCCACUUACCCAGUCUGUUGGCAGUCCUGUGUUCUGGGGCUGGGUAAAGGUCUGGUCUCCCAUCGGCCCUCCUGUGGGUUGGGCAGACACUGA
rnacentral:lncRNA from 1 species